CUACCAGGGUAUCUAAUCCUGUUUGCUCCCCACGCUUUCGCGUUUCAGCGUCAGUCACUGUCCAGAAGGCCGCCUUCGCCACCGGUGUUCCUCUCGAUAUCUACGAAUUUCACCUCUACACCGAGAAUUCCGCCUUCCUCUCCAGGACUCCAGCUUCGCAGUUUCGAAUGCACUUCCUAGGUUGAGCCCAGGGCUUUCACAUCCGACUUUUGAAGCAGCCUACACGCGCUUUACGCCCAGUAAUUCCGAACAACGUUUGCACCCUCUGUCUUACCGCGGCUGCUGGCAC
rnacentral:rRNA from 1 species